UACGUAGGGAGCUAGCGUUGUCCGGAAUCAUUGGGCGUAAAGCGCGCGUAGGCGGCCCGGUAAGUCCGCUGUGAAAGUCAAAGGCUCAACCUUUGAAUGUCAGCGGAUACUGCCGGGCUAGAGUCCGGAAGAGGCGAGUGGAACUCCUGGUGUAGCGGUGGAAUGCGCAGAUAUCAGGAAGAACACCAACGGCGAAGGCAGCUCGCUGGGACGGGACUGACGCUAAGGCGCGAAAGCGUGGGGAGCGAACAGG
rnacentral:rRNA from 1 species